UAGGGAAUAUGUCAAAGAGACAACAACCCGACCAAAGAGCAGACAACAGCGGAAGGCCACUUGCGGGUCUUCAACGCGGCGAGAAAGUCAUGCACCCGGAGGUAGUCUUCAGCUCAUAAAUAUGUAUUAGAUAUAAGAAUGAAAUACAGCUCUCAGUCGCAUUAAUAAAAACCUCACAAUAAGUUCUGAAAAUCAGAAUAAAAAGUAUUGUAAGAUUCUCAAAGUGUACACAUGGAGUUAUGAAACUUAAAUUAAUCAUGCUAAUUAAACAUGUUAAAGAUUGGCAUACAACUUGGAGUAGCCUUAUGGCAUUGUAUAGUGUAAUGAAUUCAGGGGAUAAUGGCACUACGUCUUUGAUUUUAAAGUCCUCAGAAUCAAUCUUUAAUAUUAAUAUGCAUACUCUUGUACAAAGGAAUAUAAGUAUGCAAUAGACAUAUGGUCUUCAAAAAUAAGAGGUAUCCAUGCUAUACAUUUAUGACAAGAUCUUAAUCAAGUAUUAAUUUUGGUUUGUUUAAAUAUUUCAGAGGUUAGUAUGACGUCCUUUCUAAUGAUGAUGUUUUCGUUUAAAGUUUGAAAAAAUUGUUUGUACCAACAAAAAUAAAUACACGAAGUUUAUCCAGAAUUAUGUGUUUAUCAUUUUUUUUAUGUUUAGGUUGCCAGCAAGAUGAAAAGAACAAUGCAGUUCAAAAGUCAAAAUGUGGAUAAGCUGAGAUACAAGGUCCUACUUUUGCAGAUUUUCAUAUUUUGCAUGAAUGAAUUUGAAGUUUAUAUCAUGGAGGGCAGAGAAAGAAAAGAAACACUUCAAUUUUCCUGCUUCUGAAGAAUAAAUGUAAAACAUCUUGUUCGAAGGAUUGAAAUUCAUCACUUAGAAUAAAAGGAGAAAACACAGAAACAAGACCAGAAUAAAUUCAAAGACAAAUGUCAGAUCAGUUAUUAUUUUCAUCACUCAGUCAAUGAAUCGAAGUUCUAUUAAAUAUCUAAAGAUAUUAAAACCACAAUAAUGACAAUGUUCUGUGCUGAAUGGCCAAAAAGUGGACUAUACAUUAAGAUCACACAAUGCUGGAUGAUAAGAAACUAUAAAUUUUUUGGAUGGAGGGAUAUCCAGAAAAAAAAUUAGAUUUAUGUAAAAAGCUACUAGUAUGUUAAGCCUAAUAAUAGAGUUUUCAUUGAUUCCAAAUGGGAAAAAAUUGUGUUUCAAAAAAGUAUUCUAGAAUUCAUAAAUAAACAUAUAUUGAUACUUACA